AUACCACUUGUUGCCUCGGCGGAUCAGCCCGCUCCCGGUAAAACGGGACGGCCCGCCAGAGGACCCCUAAACUCUGUUUCUAUAUGUAACUUCUGAGUAAAACCAUAAAUAAAUCAAAACUUUCAACAACGGAUCUCUUGGUUCUGGCAUCGAUGAAGAACGCAGCAAAAUGCGAUAAGUAAUGUGAAUUGCAGAAUUCAGUGAAUCAUCGAAUCUUUGAACGCACAUUGCGCCCGCCAGUAUUCUGGCGGGCAUGCCUGUUCGAGCGUCAUUUCAACCCUCAAGCACAGCUUGGUGUUGGGACUCGCGUUAAUUCGCGUUCCCCAAAUUGAUUGGCGGUCACGUCGAGCUUCCAUAGCGUAGUAGUAAAACCCUCGUUACUGGUAAUCGUCGCGGCCACGCCGUUAAACCCCAACUUCUGAAUGUUGACCUCGGAUCAGGUAGGAAUACCCGCUGAACUUAAGCAU
rnacentral:rRNA from 1 species